CAUGCUUAACACAUGCAAGUCGAACGCGAACGCGCCUUCGGGUGUUAGUAGAGUGGCGGACGGGUGAGUAAUACUUGGGAAUCUGCCUAGUAGUGGGGGAUAACUCGGGGAAACUCGAGCUAAUACCGCAUACGCCCUACGGGGGAAAGAUUUAUCGCUAUUAGAUGAGCCCAAGUCAGAUUAGCUAGUUGGUAGGGUAAUGGCCUACCAAGGCAACGAUCUGUAGCUGGUCUGAGAGGACGAACAGCCACACUGGGACUGAGACACGGCCCAGACUCCUACGGGAGGCAGCAGUGGGGAAUAUUGGACAAUGGGCGAAAGCCUGAUCCAGCAAUGCCGCGUGUGUGAAGAAGGCCUGCGGGUUGUAAAGCACUUUCAGUUGGGAAGAUGAUGACGUUACCAACAGAAGAAGCACCGGCUAACUCCGUGCCAGCAGCCGCGGUAAU
rnacentral:rRNA from 1 species